CGUGCCACGCCCUCUUUUUUGUUGAGAUAAAUCAUUAAUGCCGGCAUCCCAAUAUUUAAAGCUGUAUUUUUUAGCCAGGCAGAUUCGUCACGUCCAGGACAAGCUUUUUUCUCGACAUAGACAUUGUGCUCUAUAAUACACACAUGGAUGGGCUUGGGACAUCCGCCCGCCUUUUGCUGGGACAUCAUGUGUGCUGUGGGACAUUAUUUGUCCUACCGAUUAUUUUUAGACAGAAGCCCUUCAAUGAAGGAAAAGACUACGCCUAGCAGUCAAAGUGGCUCAAAAAUUUGUAUCUCUAUGGGGGAAAAACAACCCUCGACUAUGCGGUUGUUGCUGGUGAGACUGGCGAGAGGCUGACAUGGCAAGAUCAUACUGCCAAACAAGAGGCCCUUCGACUGUUCCUGUAGGACCAAUGCCAUUCCUACGAACGAUUGUUCAGGAGUACAACAAGAUUUGAACUUCUUCCUGGCACGGCGUCAGCGGGAAAAGAAGAGACUUGAUUGCAGUGAAGAGCCACAGGCCAAGGACAACAAGGGAGAUUCCCCGUGAUGACCCAAGACCCAACCCAGCAAAACUGGUACAUAGACAUGGACAAUUGGCUGGUUCUUAGUUGGCUGGUCAAUUAAAGCAACUACGUUUUGGUUGGUCAUUCUUUUGUGGUUGAUAAGCACUUCUAAUAAGCACAGGCUUUGCUCUAAUAUAACAUGGUAUUUAAUUUGGCAAAUUAUAUGUCUCUUAAAAUCCGUUAAUUUCAUUUCUUAUUACUUAAUAAUAAUGAAAUUAAUGAUAAUAACAUUCCUAUAGUUCUCUUUUAUUUAUAUAUUCUCAUUCUCAUUGUCAGCCAGUGAAUUGAUUUCUUGGAAAAUAAAAUCCUAUAAAUUAUAAUUUUAUAGUUAAAUUUGGAUUGAAAAGGUCAUAAUUUAUUUUUUAAUUAUCAUUUAAAAAAAUUCUUUCUGCAAACUGAUCUAAUUUAAGAAGUGAUGAAUUCUGAAUUGGGUACAUUAUAUCUGUGUGUAAUGUAAACAACGCAUCAUUUAAUAUUUUCCAAAGUAAGAAUUUAUUUAUCAUCUACCAAAUCAGUCUCACUCAGACGCCUAUUCACUCCACAUGGUGUGCAGGGCAAGUAACUUUCCCCUCUUCCAAACUCUUCGCCCUCUUCAAGAGUGACUGGGAGAGCCUUGUGACUGGUUUCGGGUAAAAAUAAACAUAAAACAGCUCCUAAGGCAGCCAGUAUGCCAAGUACAAGUUCCGGCAGGGACGGAUAAAGUUGCUCCUAAUUAUACAAAAAUUAUAACUCAAUUGUUAUUAAUUUGAUGUAAUUAAAAUACCAAGUAAAGUACUUGUGGAGACAAAAUUGAGGCAGCGUAACCUGCGACAUGGAUGGCUGCAACGCCUCCUGCUUGAACCUGCGCCGGCACAAGUUCCGCAGUGUAUUGUGCACCUGAGUUGUAAGCGACAACAACUGCAAACCUCCCCAAAAGCGCCAUACUAAUCGAGUAACCUGUAUAUAUUUCAGUUUAUAAGAAUAAAUAAAAAUCAGAUUAUUUUGUGAUCAUACUGUGCGAAACGUCAACUUUUCUCAUUCCUCCGGCAAUGGCGAUGAAGAAAGCACAGAAGAACAAUGCUGACAAAGCGAGCAACUUCCUUCCGACUUUCUCUUGCAUGAAAGCAACCACAGCACAGCCAGGCAAAAUGACUAGAGAUCCAAAACUGAGCAUGGCUAAAGGGUCUGGGCCGACCGAAUAUCUUGAGAUUGCGUCGUAACACAAAGUUAGCACCAUUCUAUAAGUAAAAAA